AUUACACACAAUUCUAGUAACAUAUCUUAUAGUGAGAUCUUAGAUUGCUGCAAGGUAGUGACACCAGAUUCUCAGCUUUGCUUCAGGCACUGGUGGAUCUUUGAGUCAUUCUCAUAGUAUGGAUUUUAUGAAAAAUCAGCUUUGGUGUUGUCAGCCUGAAGGCCACCGCACUGUGUCUGCCUCAAAGAAAUGCUCCCGUGCUAGUCACGUUGAUGUGCUUCUUCUCUGUGACAUUAGUAUUGCUUAUGUAGCCUAAAAAUCACAUGGUUGAGUGUAGGUAGUUUGGGGUGCAAAUAAGUUAUAUAACUGGUAAAACUUAGACUUCAAGCGCAUACCUUAUUGUAGUAAGACAAAUACCCUCUGCAUCCUGAUUUUGAACAGCAGUGAGCAAUGCGACUCUCUGCCCUUGCAGCAUGACCCUGAAGCCCAAAGUCCCAUGUACAGUUUUGGGUGCUACUUUAAGAGGGGCAAGGAAGUUAUGUGGAAAGCUUUAUGUGUUCAUUCAAAUUUUCUAUACCAUACC